rnacentral:rRNA from 1 species
AAUCAACGCUGGCGGCGUGCCUAACACAUGCAAGUCGAACGCGAAAGCCCUUUCGGGGGUAAGUAGAGUGGCGUCCGGGUGAGUAACACGUAGGUAAUCUACCUUCGGGUGGGGAAUAACUCGCCGAAAGGCGAGCUAAUACCGCAUAAUGCAGCGGCACCUAAUGGUGAUUAGUUGUUAAAGCGGGGGAUCGUAAGACCUCGCGCCUGAAGAGGAGCCUGCGGCAGAUUAGCUAGNGGUGAGGUAAUGGCUCACCAAGGCUUCGAUCUGUAGCUGGUCUGAGAGGACGGCCAGCCACACUGGCACUGGACACACGGGCCAGACUCCUACGGAGGCAGCAGUGGGGAAUUUUGGGCAAUGGGCGCAAGCCUGACCCAGCAACGCCGCGUGAGGGAGGAAAUCCUUCGGAUGUAACCUCACAAGCAAGGAGAGAGCUCAGGACCAAAUAAGUCCUG